UACGAAGGGGGCUAGCGUUGUUCGGAAUUACUGGGCGUAAAGCGUGCGCAGGCGGCUUUUCAAGUCAGGGGUGAAAGCCCAGAGCUCAACUCUGGAAUUGCCUUUUGAGACUGAGUGGCUUGAGUACGAGAGAGGUGAGUGGAAUUCCCAGUGUAGAGGUGAAAUUCGUAGAUAUUGGGAAGAACACCGGUGGCGAAGGCGGCUCACUGGCUCGUAACUGACGCUCAUGCACGCAGCUGGGGGAUCAAAACAGG
rnacentral:rRNA from 1 species